rnacentral:rRNA from 1 species
CCUACGGGUGGCAGCAGUGAGGAAUAUUGGUCAAUGGGCGGGAGCCUUAACCAGCCAAGCCGCGUGAGGGAAGAAGGUACAGCGUAUCGUAAACCUCUUUUGUCAGGGAAUAAAGGCGGGGACUAGUCCCCGGAUGAGGGUACCUGAAGAGAAAGCAUCGGCUAACUCCGUGCCAGCAGCCGCGGUAAUACGGAGGAUGCGAGCGUUAUCCGGUUUUAUUGGGUUAAAGGGGUGCGCAGGUGGCGUGUUAUGUCAGCGGUAAAAGCCCGGGGUUCAACCCCGGCGAGCCGUUGAAACUGGCGGGCUGGAGUUGGAGAGAAGUACGCGGAAUGCGCGGUGUAGCGGUGAAAUGCUUAGAUAUCGCGCAGAACCCCGAUUGCGAAGGCAGGGUACCGGCUCCACACUGACGCUGAGGCACGAAAGCGUGGGUAUCGAACAGGAUUAGAUACCCGUGUAGUC